AACUUUGUGCCAUCAAUGAAAACUCAUUCACCAUCAGAGAAAUCACACAAUGACAAAAGCUAGAAUAUAAUAAGUGUGUGAUAAACUUUAACAAAAAGUCAGUACAGCAGAAAAUACAUUCAAGAUAGAGACCUCAUAGUAUAUUAAAACAAACAAGAAAUGAAGUUAAUGGAUGUGGGAAAUUCUUCUGCCAUGUCAACCCUCAUUUUAACUUACACAGAGAAUGGAAUGGAGGAAAACCGUGGGACUCAGGCUCUGACGAUGGAAAGUACAAGAUGGUAGGAACCCAGGACAUCUGAACUCGGUGUAUGUCAGAAAAGUCACAUAGGACAAACCUCGGACAGCAUCCUGAAUGACCAUGGCUUUUAUCCCCAAAGUCUUCCUCAUCAGACAGGUAAUAUCAUAAGAAAUCUGACAUUUUAACAAAUGUAGGAAAUUCUUCACACACACAGACAGACACUCACACAUACACACCCAAAAUCUCAUUAAAUAUAUGAUAAUUUAGUUUUGAAUGUGUAAAAGUUUUCAACAGAUUAUCAUAUUUUAUAUCAGAGCUUGUUACAAGGAGAAAAUCUAUCAAUUUGAGAAAGGUAAGUAACAGCCUUUAUAUAGAUAUUGCUUUAUCAGAACUGUUGUUUCAUAUAUAAUAUCAAACUUUUAAUGAAAUAAAAGACAUUCACUAUAAUAAAAAG
rnacentral:lncRNA from 1 species